rnacentral:tRNA from 1 species
CCGCUGUAGCGUAACCAGGCAGCGCGGUGGCCUGUGGAGCCACUUGUCCGAGUUCAAAUCUCGGCGGCGGCCC